rnacentral:lncRNA from 1 species
CAUGGGGUCGCAAAGAGUUGGACACGACUGAGCAACUGAACUGAACAGUUUCAUUUAGUAAGUCAUUAAGUCAAAACAAUUUAGUAAGCAUCGAUGUCCUAGCAAUUUAGUAGCCAACUGAAAAAAAUAAUAGAAUCCUAUUUUAAUUUUAUUCUUUAGGUAGGCACAAUGACGAAUGGGUUCUUAUUAAGCACCGUCCAACUGCUUAUGCUUUAGAAUCUUAUUUUACUGAUAUGUCUCCCUUAUUUCCUAUUUCUUAUUAAUUUUUCUUGCGAUAUUUGCUUUUAGUCAAAGCAUUUGCUAACAAACCAGGUUUUCAAAGAUAGGACAUUACUGAGAGGAAGACAGCAUGAUCUAAUACAGAAGCUAUUGACGACCCCACGCUAGUAGCUUAUGAUGUUAAAAAGAUGUGGGGUAUUUUUCUGUUUCAUUGAAAAUUUGUAAAUUGCACACAGCAUCACCGGGAACUUGCAGUGGCACCCCAGAGUGCCUCAGUACGUAGUUUGGGAAACAAGUACCAUCAGUAUACUUCAUGUAAGAUAUUUGACAUAAAUAAUUUUAUAGUAUUUCCUAUUGCCAGUUAAGGUUUACAUUUAAUCUACUUAUAAAAAUGGGCUUAAUACAGAAAAGUAUAUAAAUUAUGAUUAUACAGCUGUAAAGUGAACAGACCCAUGUAACCUCCACCCAAAUCAAAGAAAAGAACAUUAACAAUAGCCCAUUUCAGCCCCUCAGGCUGCAUUUCAGUCACUGCCCCUGUGCCCCUAAAGGUAAUUACUAUCUGCUCCUCUGAAACCAUAUAUGGGAUCCGCCUGUGUAUGAACAGCGCCCGUCUGAAGCAGAGCCAUUUUGGAGUUUCAGUGAAUUGUAUUUAUGGCUGCUUCUCCACCAUCUUUCCCAGCUCCCCCACACUGUGAAGUCGCUCUGAAGACUGAGCCCGAGUUGGCCCAAAGGCUCAGUAAUGAACUUCUUACCAGAAUCAAAAGCAACCACCCCACUGCAUUUCCUGACCAAGGGGGCAAGUGACCUAAUGUGAUCCAAUCAGAAAAAAGUCCCCGGAUUUUAUUUCCUCCUUCUCUUCCUCCUUCCUUUCUUCCCUUUUUUUAAAACCUCCUUUCCUUUUCCUUUUUUUCAAUGUGACACUUUCUCUGUUUCAACUGGACAAGGAAGUAGGUGAUCCCAGGAAUGCUGACAUCAAUCCUGCAGGUGUGAACUGAAUUAGCCUUGGGACAGAAGGCAGAUCGGAGAAAACAUACAAACGGAAAUCACAAAACAGUAAAUGUCCCACAGGGUCACCACAGGGUCACCGAGUCACAGCUGCACUUUAUGUGAACUAAUAAAUGCCAAUUUUGUAUAAGCCAAUUUGAGCUUUCUUCCACUUAUAUACUUAUCAGAUCAUAAGAUUAGCUAAAUAUCAGCUGGCUGGAAACCUCAGUCAUGUAAAACAACUCCGUUCCCAAUGUGGAAAAACUAGAAUCUCAUUUUCCUGACAGAAAAGAAAAUGCUAGCGAACUAAAAUCUCCAUUUGAAAGACCAAUCGGCUA